CGCAGGGGAGACCUUUACUGGAUGCAGCCAGCAUUGGAUUCUCUUAGACACAAUUACAGUUUAGCUUAUACAGGCAGGGAAUAUCUGGUUUAGAUUAGAGGUUGGAUGAUUAAUUAGGGCCAAUUUCAAGUUUAUAACAAAAUCGGUAAACUGCAUUUGUGGAGGCCGAUUACAUUGCAUUCCACGAAGACACUGUGUGGCAGGGUGGCCACCUGAUACGCGAGUGCAGCAAGGAGCCAAGAUAUCACCAAAUCCCGGGAGGAACCACCGGUGCAGCCAAUGAUGAACUUAUACCCAAGAACUCUGAUGGGGGACCAGAGGAGGAGCUUCAAGGCGGCCUGGUACCAUAUCCACCCCUAGGCCAAGCAUAUGACGGUGCUUCCGUUAUGAGUGGCAAGCAUUCAGGCGUCCAGGCACACAUUGAAGAACAAGCAAAGCCUUUUACAUCCACUGCAGUGCACACUGUCUAAACUUAAUUUUAGUGGAUAUAGUCAAAGCUGUCCCUGAGGUCGGACAGUUCUUCUGCUUACUAGAAAGACUUUACGUCUUCACAUCCGGGUCAUAUGUGCAUCAAAAAUGGCUUAGCAUACAAAAAGAGAUGUACCCAGGUGCACCUAGAGAGCUUCAGAGACUAAGUGACACUAGCUGGGCAUGUCGAUAUAUGGCUCUACAUACUAUUAUGGAUAGAUUACCUGCCAUUAAGCGAGUUCUGCAAGAUAUAGUCCAAGAACACAAUGGUGACAGAUCUGUUGAGGCACGAGGUCUGCUUGCACAGAUAGAUUUACAAUUCAUUGUGUGCCGUGGUACACUCCAUAAAGUGUUUGGAGAAGCAGAAUUUCUAUCAGAUAUGCUACAGUCUUCAUCACUUGACCUGUCAAAGGCUGUUGAUUUAGUUGAAGCCUUAGUUCAAACUUUGAAUGACUACAGGGAUGAGUCAUUUUUUGAUGACCUAUGGAAUGAAGUGUUGAACACAGCUGAGCAAUGUGAUACUGCAAUACACCCCCCUGCAAAACGACCAAAAAAGCUAAGCUUCAAUUUAAUGGAGUCUGUGUACUCAGUACAGUGGGUCAGAGGUCAGAUUCAGAACAAGAAAAAGGCAGUUUUCGUACAACCCUUUUUUAGAUCAUAUGCUCAAUGAGCGUAACAGAAGGUUCCCUAUCAAACACUGUGACAUAAUGAAUGGCAUCCAAACUCUAAACCCUACAAGUGACGUGUUUCUCAAAGAGAAGUCCCGGUUUCCAUUUGCUAGAAUGUAUGAAUCAAAUAUUGAGGACUUGGGACAUGAACUACAGCAGUUCAGAAGAAUUUUAGAGAGGAAAAUACAGUGGCAUGCAGAGACCCUCCAGUGUAGUAGAGCUGGCAUUAUUCAUUGAGCCUUAUAAAUAAGUUUUCUUUGCGCUCUUUAAACUGUGCAAGAUAGCUGUUUCAAUCCCUGUUAGUACUGCUUCUUGUGAAAUACAUUUUUCUGCACUAAAACUGGUGAAAACGUAUCUCAGGUCUACAAUGUCAGAUGACAGAUUAAACAAUUUAGGUGUAUUAAGUAUUGAGUCAAGGAGGGCAAAGGCUUUGAGUCUAGAUUAAUUUGCUGAUCUUUUUGCAAAAAAACACAAAAACCGGAGAAUACAGUUGAUGUGACCUGAUACUGAAUAUGUAAUGCAAAUGAAAAUUAUAAUGGAAAUGCAAAUAAAUUGUUGAAUGAUUAUGAUGGUCUUUUGCCUGCUAAUGCCUGCAAUGCAGUGAAGAAAACGAUAUGACAACAAUAACGUCUAAUGUAACUGGCCCCAGCUUGGCCCCCCCAGUUGAAA
ensembl:lncRNA